UCGCAGAUAUGUAGAAAACCCUUCAUAGGGAGAUUCAUGGACAGAGGAAUGACGCCGUCAAGAACACACCUGAAGCCAUUGUAGAAGCUAUUCACCCCUGAAAUAAAAAAUUCACAUCUUGAGCAUCAUGAAAUGUGGCCUCGUAAUUCAGGCCUUCGAGUUGGAUCUGCCUCAGUUGCCACUGUUCCUUGGCCGUCAAAAGCAGGAACUCUUGAGGAACUGCUUGACUGUCCCAUUAGAGAAGAACUGGAAAUCUAUGCACUCAUUCAAAGGCACGACUCAAAUAAAAGAUAAUGACAGCAUCUCACAAAGCUAUAUGGAUAUUGUAGUAAAAAGCUCUCUUUUUUUCCCUUCAAGUUACAUCAUAAAGUUAUUGGCAAUUUUAAAGCAUUUAAAGAUUAAUGAACAUGGUCUUGAUUUUUUUUAUUAUUAUUAUUUUGAAGCAUCUAAAUGGACAUUGUGGUGGAAAAUUGCAAGACUACCACGCCUUUUAAGUCCCAAAUAUUUGCAAUCUGCAUGCAACUGUAAUAAUUCAGGACAAUUUUGCACUUCUGAUUUUUUUUGCUAUUGAAAUUCUGUCAUUUUAACAA